rnacentral:lncRNA from 1 species
UAAGGAACUUCUAAUUCAGCAGGUCUGGCUGCUGGGUGGUGUGUGUGUGGGGAGGGGGGUGGUGUAGCUAACUAAGUUAAGUAAAGCUAAGCUAAGUAAAAAUCUAUGCAGAUUUCUUUCCUGAAAACUGUUUAUUUGGAGAGUCGACAGGCCACCAAACCCCUCAGAGACCACAGAGAGUGAUACUGCUGCUCAGAAAUCACAGCAUAAUGUGCCGGAAAAGGGAUGAUCAUCAGUGUUGGUGACGGAGAAAAAGCGGAGACUCUGGGGUUUAAAAGUACCCAAAGCAUCCUGGGUAAUUAGCCAUUACGUUGCUGUCACAGAGGGUUGUGCAGUCAAUACAGAGAUAAUUUGGGCAAUGGUGAAUGACAGCGCUGUCCGGACUGCUGGGAUGAUCAAGGACAGAGCCAGCUGC